ACUUUUCUUUCGAUCAACCACAAAUUGAUUUUGAUGAAGCAACUGAACAACCCAAAGAUGAGAAAGAUGCUCUGCCCAAGUAGUACUGUAUACCAAGAUAUCGUCGAAAAAGACGAGAACAAAACAACACAAGUAUGGCUAGAACAAAUAAUUCAUCAUUGCCUGAAAAGUAUCUGGGGCAUUUGUCAGCUCAAAGGCAUGACGAUAAACUCAUAAUGCCCGGAAUGUGUGCGAAAGGCUGUCUACGGAAUAUCUUCAUCUCGAACUCGAAUAUGAUGGUGACUCGAGCGUAAA
rnacentral:misc_RNA from 1 species